rnacentral:rRNA from 1 species
CUCGUAGGUGGCCAACUAAGUCGGACGUGAAAUCCCUCAGCUUAACUGGGGAACUGCGUCCGAUACUGGAUGGCUUGAGUUUGGGAGAGGGAUGCGGAAUUCCAGGUGUAGCGGUGAAAUGCGUAGAUAUCUGGAGGAACACCGGUGGCGAAGGCGGCAUCCUGGACCAACACUGACACUGAGGAGCGAAGCCAGGGGAGCAAACG